AUUGAACGCUGGCGGCAGGCUUAACACAUGCAAGUCGAGCGAGCGGCGGACGGGUGAGUAAUGUCUGGGAACUGCCUGAUGGAGGGGGAUAACUACUGGAAACGGUAGCUAAUACCGCAUACUAUCGGAUAACCCAUAUGGGAUUAGCUAUUAGGUGGGGUAAUGGCUCACCUAGGCGACGAUCCCUAGCUGGUCUGAGAGGAUGAGCAGCCACACUGGAACUGAGACACGGCCCAGACGCCUACGGAGGCAGCAGUGGGGAAUAUUGCAAAAUGGGCGCAAGCAUGAGGCAGCCAUGCCGCGUGGAAGAAGAAGGCCCUAGGGUUGUAAAGUACUUGCAGGCGGGAGGCGUUACCGACAGAAGAAGCACCGGCUAACUCCGUGCCAGCAGCCGCGGUAAUAC
rnacentral:rRNA from 1 species